GUGGGCAGAGCUCCCCUGCGAGCGGCUGUGGUGCAUUGUAGUUGCAUUGCACGUCAUGUCGGGCUGUGCAAUGUUCCCACAGUGCAUCCCAGAGGCCCGCGCUGCUGCCGCUGCCGCCA
rnacentral:pre_miRNA from 12 species